rnacentral:lncRNA from 1 species
AUCAUCUUGUUGCAAUAAAAGCCCUUGGAUGAUGUAAUGCACUAUUUAUAGUCAUCUACUGGUGAUAUCAUCCCAUAAAUGACUAUAAAAUAUUGUAGAAAUGCGCUUCGCAUGUAACAGUGGCAUGUUCCAAGAUUGCUAUACUUAUGUACACCAUCUUGGAAUAUGGCACUGUUACAAUGGCUAAAUUUUCGAAACUAACGCCUAAGAAAGGGGUAUUAGAUGUUUCAAAUGCUCGAAGUUCAACAGAGAUUAUUGAAGAUUUGUAAAGGUUCGAAGUUUUACCUAUCUAUGUGGCAGAGGGUGUUAGAGCCUGCGGUGUGGGAGUGCGUCAAGGUUGUAGUGACGUCAUGUUGAACUAUUGUUUCCGGUGGAACUGUCUCUUUCGUAAAGUUGGAACUGAAUUAAUAUUAAUUAGUUUAUUUCACUACUAUGUUUAAAAUAAUCAUUAAAUUACUUCAAAAAGUUUUAAGAAAAGUUGGCUGUAUUUUUGGUGUUUUCUUUGUUAGCGGUGGAAUUAUGCAAAUGAGACUGUGGUUAAAGGAUGGGUGGAGAGGCGGUGGUGAUGUCUCGCCUGUUGUGUCAUCGUCUUGUGUUUUUUAUGCUUAUCAACUGUUAUCUGUUACUGGGGGUUUGUGAAUUACAGUCGACCGUUGCUGUUUCAGUGGACAGUAUGUCGCAGUGAAGAUAUGGAUUAACAAUAUUAACAAUAGCUAACAAUUAGUAACAGUGAUCCAGAUUAGAGAUAUCACUAAGGAGUGGCUCAGAGGACGAGUUUUCCAUAAUCUCUCAUCUAUCUUUCUAAAGCGAACCUCCAAA